CACAGUUUGAUAAAUCUGGGCCACAGUCUUUAAAUGCACAAGAUUUCUAUCUGGCUGAUUGAUCAAUUUGGCAUAACUUAGGAUUGUCUAGUCUUAUUUUAGUUGGCUUUUAAACCAGGACAUUUGGUGCAUAUUUAUUAUUAUUAUUAUUUUUUUUUGCACUUCGAGGCCACACCAGUUUUUACCCAUUCUAUGCCUGUUUUGCCAAACCCACCUAAAGAGUGUCUAGAACUCAUAAUAAAGGUGUAACAAGUCAGCGCCGGCUUCUUAAAUUUAGCAGUCCAGCCACGGCUGCAGGAAAUAAUGAGUGACGUCCCUGACGCCGCACAGAGGAGCUGGCAGGAGACGUCACUCAUCAUAUUAUCCACACAGCCCACAAGACCCCCCACAUUAGCUGAGCCUGCUGAGCGUGGCCAGGUAUGUGACAAGGUGAAAUGGCGCACCCCUGGUCUUUCAACAGCAUUGAGGCUCAGAGGGCACAGUUGGCACAGUUUCCAGUUGACUAAAACGUUAUGAUGCUCUGAACUUUAUGUAGAUUUUUUUUGUUUUUGUUAUUUUGUGCUACAUUUUCGAUUUUAGUUUUUUUUUGUUUUGAAAAACAACAUCCUGUAUAUUAUCACAGAUUUUUGGAACAGAAUAUCAAUUCACAUUUAGG